rnacentral:rRNA from 1 species
AAAUUGAAGAGUUUGAUCAUGGCUCAGAUUGAACGCUGGCGGCAGGCCUAACACAUGCAAGUCGAGCGGUAGCACAGAGAGCUUGCUCUCGGGUGACGAGCGGCGGACGGGUGAGUAAUGUCUGGGAAACUGCCUGAUGGAGGGGGAUAACUACUGGAAACGGUAGCUAAUACCGCAUAAUGUCGCAAGACCAAAGUGGGGGACCUUCGGGCCUCAUGCCAUCAGAUGUGCCCAGAUGGGAUUAGCUAGUAGGUGGGGUAACGGCUCACCUAGGCGACGAUCCCUAGCUGGUCUGAGAGGAUGACCAGCCACACUGGAACUGAGACACGGUCCAGACUCCUACGGGAGGCAGCAGUGGGGAAUAUUGCACAAUGGGCGCAAGCCUGAUGCAGCCAUGCCGCGUGUGUGAAGAAGGCCUUCGGGUUGUAAAGCACUUUCAGCGGGGAGGAAGGCGAUAAGGUUAAUAACCUUGGCGAUUGACGUUACCCGCAGAAGAAGCACCGGCUAACUCCGUGCCAGCAGCCGCGGUAAUACGGAGGGUGCAAGCGUUAAUCGGAAUUACUGGGCGUAAAGCGCACGCAGGCGGUCUGUCAAGUCGGAUGUGAAAUCCCCGGGCUCAACCUGGGAACUGCAUUCGAAACUGGCAGGCUAGAGUCUUGUAGAGGGGGGUAGAAUUCCAGGUGUAGCGGUGAAAUGCGUAGAGAUCUGGAGGAAUACCGGUGGCGAAGGCGGCCCCCUGGACAAAGACUGACGCUCAGGUGCGAAAGCGUGGGGAGCAAACAGGAUUAGAUACCCUGGUAGUCCACGCCGUAAACGAUGUCGAUUUGGAGGUUGUGCCCUUGAGGCGUGGCUUCCGGAGCUAACGCGUUAAAUCGACCGCCUGGGGAGUACGGCCGCAAGGUUAAAACUCAAAUGAAUUGACGGGGGCCCGCACAAGCGGUGGAGCAUGUGGUUUAAUUCGAUGCAACGCGAAGAACCUUACCUGGUCUUGACAUCCACAGAACUUUCCAGAGAUGGAUUGGUGCCUUCGGGAACUGUGAGACAGGUGCUGCAUGGCUGUCGUCAGCUCGUGUUGUGAAAUGUUGGGUUAAGUCCCGCAACGAGCGCAACCCUUAUCCUUUGUUGCCAGCGGUCCGGCCGGGAACUCAAAGGAGACUGCCAGUGAUAAACUGGAGGAAGGUGGGGAUGACGUCAAGUCAUCAUGGCCCUUACGACCAGGGCUACACACGUGCUACAAUGGCAUAUACAAAGAGAAGCGACCUCGCGAGAGCAAGCGGACCUCAUAAAGUAUGUCGUAGUCCGGAUUGGAGUCUGCAACUCGACUCCAUGAAGUCGGAAUCGCUAGUAAUCGUAGAUCAGAAUGCUACGGUGAAUACGUUCCCGGGCCUUGUACACACCGCCCGUCACACCAUGGGAGUGGGUUGCAAAAGAAGUAGGUAGCUUAACCUUCGGGAGGGCGCUUACCACUUUGUGAUUCAUGACUGGGGUGAAGUCGUAACAAGGUAACCGUAGGGGAACCUGCGGUUGGAUCACCUCCUUACCUUAAAGAA